rnacentral:lncRNA from 1 species
AAAAAAUAUCAGAAUUUUUUAGAAUUUUUUACGAUUUUUUUUCAUAUUUUUUUCACCCAAUAAAGCCUCAGCCGUUGGAUUAAUUUGGAAAAGCAGAUCGGAAGGCUGGGGAGGCGACACGUGGCAGCGUACCGUUGGAGCUGGCUUCGCGCUGACGUCAGCGCGCGCUGGUUUAAAUUUUUUUUACCGUUGGCGCGUGCAUUGCACGCGCCAACGGUAAAAAAAUUUUGAACUGCGCUCGCUGACGUCACCGUGACGCGAGGCUGACGUCAGCAACCGCGUUUUGGACCUGGGGCUGGUCUUGCCUUCGGGCUGGGCCGAGUUGGUGGGUCCCACACCACCCCCGGGCCUGGGCUGAACGCUGGAGCAACUUUUUUUUUUUUUCCUGCCCUCGCCUCGGGCUGGGCUCCCUCGGUGGAGCAGCUCUAAUAGGGAAAUUGGGGCUUUACUCUCGGCGGGCGUACUUGUUGGCAAAAUGCCUUGUUUUUGAAAAGUUUGGUUAAUUUCCGGUAUAAAUACAUUAUAUGGGCCACAUAUACAUUUUUUCACUUCUUUUUUCUGGUCUGAAAUCGAUGUCUAUUUUUCUUUUUUUCUUC